rnacentral:rRNA from 1 species
UACAGAGGUCCCAAGCGUUGUUCGGAUUCACUGGGCGUAAAGGGUGCGUAGGUGGCGGGGUAAGUUUGAUGUGAAAUCUCCGGGCUUAACCCGGAAACUGCAUUGAAUACUAUUCUGCUCGAGGUUUGGAGGGGGGACUGGAAUUCUCGGUGUAGCAGUGAAAUGCGUAGAUAUCGAGAGGAACACCAGUGGCGAAGGCGAGUCCCUGGACAACACCUGACACUGAGGCACGAAAGCUAGGGGAUCAAACAGG